rnacentral:rRNA from 1 species
GAAAGCAAAGAAGGGCAUAUGGAGGAUGCCUAGGCUCUCGAAGGCGAAGAAGGACGUGAUAAGCUGCGAAAAGCUCCGGGGAGUGGCAAAUACACCGAGAUCCGGAGAUGUCCGAAUGGGGCAACCCGUCGAGGCUCGACCUCGACACACGCGAACGCGUGGGCGAACGUGGGGAACUGAAACAUCUAAGUACCCAUAGGAAGAGAAAAUAACAAUGAUUCCGCAAGUAGUGGCGAGCGAACGCGGAAGAGCCCAAACCGCAGGCGUAGCAAUGCGCCGUGCGGGGUUAUAGGACCGGCGCCACGAAGAACUGAAAGCUAGCCGAACCGACUGGAAAGUCGGGCCGCAGCGGGUGACAGCCCCGUAGGCGAAAGCGUUCAGCGAUUCCAGCCGGCACCUGAGUAACCCGGAGCACGAGGAAUUCCGGGCGAAUUGGCGGGGACCAUCCCGUAAGGCUAAAUACUAACGAGAGACCGAUAGCGAACCAGUACCGUGAGGGAAAGGUGAAAAGAACCUCGAACAGAGGAGUGCAACAGACCCUGAAACCAUAUGCCUACAAGCGGUCGGAGCGGCUCAGUGCCGUAACGGCGUGCCUUUUGCAUAAUGAACCUACGAGUCACCGUCGUUGGCAAGGUUAAGGACAAUGAUGUCCGGAGCCGAAGCGAAAGCGAGUCCGAACAGGGCGCCGGAGUCAGCGGAGGUGGACGCGAAACCAAGUGAUCUACCCUUGGGCAGGUUGAAGGACAGGUAAAACUGUCUGGAGGACCGAACCGGUAAGCGUUGAAAAGCUUUCGGAUGACCUGAGGGUAGGAGUGAAAGGCCAAUCAAACUUGGAGAUAGCUCGUACUCCCCGAAAUGUAUUUAGGUGCAGCCUCGGAGAGAAUCUGACGGAGGUAGAGCGACUGAUAGGAUGCGAGGGCUUCACCGCCUAUCAAGUCCUGACAAACUCCGAAUGCCGUCAGACAUAUCCGGGAGUAAGGGCGCGGGUGCUAAGGUCCGCGUCCGAGAGAGGAACAACUCAGACCAUCGGCUAAGGUCCCGAAAUCCGGGCUAAGUUGAAGACAAUAACGAGGUGGGAUUGCAUAGACAGCUAGGAUGUUGGCUUGGAAGCAGCCAUUCAUUUAAAGAGUGCGUAACAGCUCACUAGUCGAGUGAUCCCGCGUGGAUAAUAAUCGGGCAUAAGUCCGGUACCGAAGCCAUGGAAUCACGCUAAGGGCGUGAUUGGUAGGGGAGCAUUCCGUACGGCGGCGAAGGUCGGUGGCGAUGCCGGCUGGAGCGUACGGAAAAGCAAAUGUAGGUAUAAGUAACGAUAAUGGAGGCGAGAAACCUCCACGCCGAAAGACCAAGGUUUCCUGAUCAACGCUAAUCGGAUCAGGGUAAGUCGGGACCUAAGGGGCAGCCGCGAGGCGGACCCGAUGGAAGAAACGGUAAAGAUUCCGUUACUGUCGCCGGGAGUGAAGCGGGGACGGAGGAGUGACACCGCCGCGGACUGACGGAAUAGUCCGUUGAAGAGUGUAGGUAUUCGGAGGCCAGGCAAAUCCGGUCUCCGAGCUGAACUUGACAGUACUGCGAGCCUUCGGGCAAGCAGACAGCGCGGGUAAGCAGACUCCCAAGAAAAUCCGCUAAACAUAUGUCGGCGACACCCGUACCGCAAACGGACACACGUGGUCGGGUAGAACAUACUAAGGCGUCGAGAGAUUCACCGUUAAGGAACUAGGCAAAUUGACCUCGUAACUUCGGGAUAAGGGGUCCCACAGCGAUGUGGGCGCAGAGAAUAGGUCCAGGCAACUGUUUAACAAAAACACAGGGCUGUGCGAAAUUUAAAGAUGAAGUAUACAGCCUGACACCUGCCCGGUGCCGGAAGGUUAAGAGGAGAAGUCAUCGCAAGAGAAGCUUUGAAUUGAAGCCCCGGUAAACGGCGGCCGUAACUAUAACGGUCCUAAGGUAGCGAAAUUCCUUGUCGGGUAAGUUCCGACCUGCACGAAUGGUGUAAUGAUCUGGACUCUGUCUCAACGGUGAGCUCGGUGAAAUUGUAGUAUCGGUGAAGAUGCCGAUUACCCGCAACGGGACGAAAAGACCCCGUGAACCUUUACUGCAGCUUAGCAUUGGGACCUGGGUCGUCCGAUGUGUAGGAUAGUCCGGAGACAGCGAAGCGGGGGCGCCAGCCCUCGCGGAGUCGACGUUGAAAUACGGACCUUUGCGCUAUCUGGUCUCUAACUCGCGGAAAGCGAGGACACUGCUUGGUGGGUAGUUUGACUGGGGUGGUCGCC